rnacentral:rRNA from 1 species
CACGUAGGCGGAUCAGUCAGUCAGAGGUGAAAUCCCAGGGCUCAACCCUGGAACUGCCUUUGAUACUGCUGGUCUGGAGGUCGAGAGAGGUGAGUGGAAUUCCGAGUGUAGAGGUGAAAUUCGUAGAUAUUCGGAGGAACACCAGUGGCGAAGGCGGCUCACUGGCUCGAUACUGACGCUGAGGUGCGAAAGCGUGGGGAGCAAACA